AGACAAUAAAUAAUGCGUGGUAGUAGAGAUCGUUCAUAUGAAUAUUUUUUGUCCGAUUGAAAAAAGAAAAACAUUUUGCUCAACUAGUCGCCGUAAGCAAUAUGGAAUACUUUUUUCGGGUAUCUGUUAUUUUGAGUUUACUUUUUGGUUACUUCUGCCGUGAGGGAAUAAGAAUUUCGGGCAAAAGAAUGGUUGCUGCUUCACAGAUGGGCAACAGUCAGACAUUAACAAAUCCAAGUUAUCAAGCUUUACUAGAAGCGGCCGGUGAUGGUUUUCUCAGUAGAGAUGAGAUUCAGAGAUUUGCACCUGAUACGCCAUCUCCAAAUGACGUUGAAUGUUAUGUAGAAGUUGAAACGUACCGAACACGACGGAUUGGAGGACGUUGUGUAAAUUUUGGAAGGACCACUCUUAAAGUAUGUCAAGCCGGAGAAUACUCUGGACCUUUGUUUAAUAACCAGUGCAGGAGGCAAAACAUCACAAGCAAUCAAAACACAGCCACUGAUCCACCAACACCUUAAUUCGACCAGUGUACUGUAUGAGGCAGAAACAUACACAACUGACACUGUUCAACUGGCAAACAAUCUAUAUAAAUGUAGUCCUCGUUUAUUUUUAGAUAUAUUAAAUGUUACAAAC